rnacentral:rRNA from 1 species
UUUUCCGCCUAAAGAGAAGCUUGCGGCUGAUUAGCUUGUUGGUAAGGUAAUGGCUUAAGGCGACGAUCAGUAUCUGGUUUGAGAGGACGAUCAGACACACUGGUGAGACACGGUCCAGACUCCUACGGGAGGCAGCAGUGGGGAAUUUUCAAUGGGCGAAAGCCUGACGGAGCAAUACCGCGUGAGGGAUGAAUGCUGGGUUGUAAACCUCUUUUUUCAGGGAGGAAUCAAUGACGUUACCUGAAGAAUAAGCAUCGGCUAACUCCGUGCCAGCAGCCGCGGUAAGACGGAGGAUGCAAGUGUUAUCCGGAAUCACUGGGCGUAAAGCGUYUGUAAGGUGGUUUGAUAAGUCAACUGGUAAAUCUUGAGGCUCAACCUUAAAACCGCAACUUAUUUA